AUGGCUCAGGACGAACGCUGGCGGCGUGCUAAUACAUGCAAGUCGAGCGGACAGAUGGGAGCUUGCUCCUGAUGUUAGCGGCGGACGGGUGAGUAACACGUGGGUAACCUGCCUGUAAGACUGGGAUAACUCCGGGAAACCGGGGCUAAUACCGGAUGGUUGUUUGAACCGCAUGGUUCAAACAUAAAAGGUGGCUUCGGCUACCACUUACAGAUGGACCCGCGGCGCAUUAGCUAGUUGGUGAGGUAAUGGCUCACCAAGGCAACGAUGCGUAGCCGACCUGAGAGGGUGAUCGGCCACACUGGGACUGAGACACGGCCCAGACUCCUACGGGAGGCAGCAGUAGGGAAUCUUCCGCAAUGGACGAAAGUCUGACGGAGCAACGCCGCGUGAGUGAUGAAGGUUUUCGGAUCGUAAAGCUCUGUUGUUAGGGAAGAACAAGUACCGUUCGAAUAGGGCGGUACCUUGACGGUACCUAACCAGAAAGCCACGGCUAACUACGUGCCAGCAGCCGCGGUAAUACGUAGGUGGCAAGCGUUGUCCGGAAUUAUUGGGCGUAAAGGGCUCGCAGGCGGUUUCUUAAGUCUGAUGUGAAAGCCCCCGGCUCAACCGGGGAGGGUCAUUGGAAACUGGGGAACUUGAGUGCAGAAGAGGAGAGUGGAAUUCCACGUGUAGCGGUGAAAUGCGUAGAGAUGUGGAGGAACACCAGUGGCGAAGGCGACUCUCUGGUCUGUAACUGACGCUGAGGAGCGAAAGCGUGGGGAGCGAACAGGAUUAGAUACCCUGGUAGUCCACGCCGUAAACGAUGAGUGCUAAGUGUUAGGGGGUUUCCGCCCCUUAGUGCUGCAGCUAACGCAUUAA
rnacentral:rRNA from 1 species